GACGAACGCUGGCGGCGUGCUUAACACAUGCAAGUCGAACGGUAAGGCUCCAGCUUGCUGGGGUACACGAGUGGCGAACGGGUGAGUAACACGUGGGUGACCUGCCCUGCACUUCGGGAUAAGCCUGGGAAACUGGGGCUAAUACCGGAUAGGACCAUGGUGUGGAUACUGUGGUGGAAAGUUUUUGCGGUGUGGGAUGGGCCCGCGGCCUAUCAGCUUGUUGGUGGGGUAAUGGCCUACCAAGGCGGCGACGGGUAGCCGGCCUGAGAGGGUGGACGGCCACAUUGGGACUGAGACACGGCCCAGACUCCUACGGGAGGCAGCAGUGGGGAAUAUUGCACAAUGGGCGGAAGCCUGAUGCAGCGACGCCGCGUGGGGGAUGACGGCCUUCGGGUUGUAAACUCCUUUCACCAUCGACGAAGGGUUUCUGACGGUAGAUGGAGAAGAAGCACCGGCUAACUACGUG
rnacentral:rRNA from 1 species